AGCUCCUGGAGGAGCCCCGCAUGUGCUCAGACUCUGCAACUCCCGGGAAGGCUCCUGCAGGCACACGGAGCCGCUCACCGCUGCUCAGCGGACACAGACAGCACAGAGCUCGCCGCAAUACAGUCCUUCCCCUUCCCACCGGGAGCUCCCUGUAAACGUCACUCUAGCUACUGUCCGAAUACAGCAAGCACUUUACAAAGAAGACGUACGCCAGUAACUUGUGUAAUGUCACUAUAAGCAUCAGAAGCCCAUAAUCACCUUGCUUAAUCUUCUUUCAGGCAGACUACAAGUAGAAGAGCUAUGCCAUUUCGAGGACACACCAGAGAAGGCUAAGCCUACCGCAAAACGCACGCAAACGCGGGGGCACCGCAUCUCAGCCGGUGCUCGCUGUGCUGAGAGCAGCCCCAGCUCCCAGACCGCCGUCCUUUCAAAGACCGGUACUGCGGCCACACGGGCACGCUGCGUUCCGGCCGCGGGACGGGACCACCGGGACCCGAAGAGCUGCGGGGCACCCGGCACGGAUCGCGGUGCGGAGCUGAGGGGGCGCCCCGGCGGGCUCGGUGCGGACUACCGGCACGCAGCAGCCAACUCCCGGGACACAGCGAGACCUGCCCAGUUAGAGCUGGCUGCUGGGGGCGCGGGGACCUCACCCCGGGCUGGUGUCCCCGCGGGGCCGCGCCGCCCGCCUUCGCGUCUCCCCAACCCAGCUUACGUUGGUGCCGCGGGAGAGAUGCGUCCUCGCCUUCUCCUCUCGGCUCCCAAAUGCAUUUGUAUGCAUUUGCCCGGGCAGCGGAGGUCCGAGGGAAAGCCGGAGCCGAACGCCGCGCCGCCGGAGCCUCAGAUUAUGGCUGCUGAGUUCCAGCCUUGCUGCAAGACACAUAGCAGAAACUGUUCUGAAGUGGUGUAAGAGAUGAGGAAAGUGAUUCCAAGAUGGGAUUCCCCUUCCAGGAUAAGUACAGGGGAGGGCAAUGGUACAUAUAUCUCCAGAGCCUAAAACUACAGAGGAAAAAAAGAGUAAGAAUUUGAAGGAAAAUGUGUGAAAUGGGAACAUAAAUGCUCUGUGUUGGAGUCUGAGCCUUAUCCCACUGCAGGCAGUAGGAACUUUACCUUUGACUUCGGCCCGAGCAGAACAGGACCCAUGUGAGUUUCCUGGUCCAGUCCCAGAAUUAAGAUAUUUUGGCAGAAGAUCCUUGCUGCUAUUGAGUUCCCUUUGGCAAACUGUUUUCCCUGCACACCACAAUAUAUGGUGUUAGGCUAUGUACCAGAACUGUCGGAACCUAGUUCAGCAAAAUAUUUAUUUAGAUUUCUCUCUGUGGCAGCCAAAAAAAUGUUUAACACAUUGCUCUGGUUAAAGAAAGUUACCAAGCUAUCAAAUGUGAUUAAGAAAUACAAGACAUGGAAAGGAUUACACCAUGUCUUUGAGAACAAUUGGCUAAAAUCAGAAGACCUCCAACUCUGAAACCAUUGGGUUUUGCUGGAUGUGAAAGAAAUUGUAAUGACCAUUGUCUGCCUUCAGCCUCUAGCUGGGCCCAUUAUUUCCUCAUAGAAGUAGUUAGGGAGAAAUAACGUUUUCAAGUUUUGAAUAUGCCAAAAAUCUGGAAAUGACUGAAGUAUGACCCUUGAUGAUUUUUUUAGAUGAGUUCUAUCCCUUUUAGUUUUGUACUUGUAAACUAGAGAAAUAAUAUAAAUGUACGCAUCAAGGAAGUCAUAGUGAAGAGGAUUUAUCUAUCUUAUAAGACCAACACACAAAAGCCUAUGGGCUGAGAGAGGAAAAGAGAUGCGCUGAGUUCAGAGGACCACACUUCAGACAUCCUGGCAUAUAGAGGGGAAAAAAGAAAAAAAAAAAAAGGAAAAAAAGCACACUUCAGAGUGACAAAACUGCCAAGCCACAAAUGACCGUAUAGACCAGUGAGAUUCCUUAGGAUACUUAGUUAAAGCAAGCAGGGGAACGUGUCCAGCCAGGAGCAAGGAACAGAAGAGAGCCUCAGUGAACCACAAGACAGAGCAAAUGCUCCAGACCACAGGGCUCCAGCAACUCUGGCUGGGAAAGGUGCCUCACCAAAGCCAGGAUGAUUGCAACUGUUUAUGAGACCUGAUAGCAUCCAUUUUAAUAAGUCACAGCUAUAGAAGAGACCCACCACAAAACAAAGCUGGAAAAAUCUGAAAUGUGCAACUUAAGUGAACUGCUCUGAAGAAGCAACCCCACACCCAGCAUGUAAAGCUGUGCUACCUUGUUCCAUUGAUGGCAUGGCAUACACCACACCAAGAAUGCAGAGAAACCAGGCCAAACACACAGGGAAAUAUUAAAUGAAGAGAGAAGCAGUUAUUAGGAAAGUAAUACGUGAAUGGAAAAUACUAUAGGAAGAAUGAGUACAACGUGGGAACCACGGGAAUGGCCCACCAGAUGAGAAGACUGCAGUUACCAAAUAGGCCAAACUGCCAAGAGUAGUGCAGUAAAUUUCCAUCUCAAAAGAAGCUAGUGGAAGAAAAAACAGAGUUAGAGAAAAAUCCCCUUAUUUUCAUUUUUAGUUAAUCUUUAUCCCAUCAUUGAUGGAGAGUUUUGCAAUCUGGGCAGGAAGCAGAGACACCCACUCCUACAGGCAGAAAGAUGCAUUUGACGUGAGGCAUUUUCUGGGAUGCUCAUUGAACUGAAAAUCCCCUUUGUAGGUGAAGUCCACAAAUAUGACUAGAAGUCUGCAAGCCCAGGACCAUAUCACAACCUAUACAGGUGUGUGCUCAGAGAGGAACAGAGAAAAAGACAGACCUCAGCAGCUGUGUUUAACCAUGGGGCUGCAACCUCCCGUCACAGCAUGGUCCCCUGCACCACAGGACUUCCCCAGCAGGUCUCUAGAAGACUCCUUCUCAUGGAGGAGCCUUUUCCAAAGGGCUCCAGACUACUGUCACUGUACAAAACCUGCUUUCACUCCAUCUAUAAAGGGAGAUAAAAGACUAUUUCUAUAAAACAUGGAAAGGUCUGAUUGUCCUAUGUGAAACAGUGUUCCUUUGUGCCACCCAGGGACACUUGGCCUUCUUGGUAGUGCUUGCUGUCACCUUCCUGCAUAGGAAGAAGGGGCCAAAACUCAGCAUCUUGUAGGACAUCUUUCAGUGGGACAAAAUUUGCAGGCAUUUCCCUUUGAAAACCUCUUUGUAAAAGAAUAAAAACAGAUCAUUUUGGAGAGUGCCCACACUGAUAGGAUGCUCGCAGCCAGCUUGCAAAGUCUCAGCAGCACUAAAAACUACUCACACAUCUGGAAGAACCAGCACAGUCAUCUAAGAAGUAUUUUGCUCCUGAGCCAUAAAGAGCUGCACAUGAGGCCAGUCUUCUUUCAAAUCCAUUCCCACACUUCUCUCAGCAACUGGGGCAGAUGCUUCAUUCCUUAGCUUGUUAGUUCCAGGAAGGUCUUUCUUGUCCAUUUUUUUCUUCCAGCCUUUCAGGCAAGAUUUCACAGCAGCAUUCUGCAAGCAGAAAAAUGUAUUUCCAGAGAUUCCUUCUUCAGUACUUACUGUUUUUGUUCAGUUUAUUAGCAGAAUUAGCUUCUGGCCACAGCAAGGAGAGGUUUCAGAAUCAUAGAAUUGUUAAGGUUGAAAAGACCAAUAAGAUCAUCCAAUCCAACCAUCAAUCCAUACCUGUGACUGCUGUAGACCAUGUCGUUCAGUGUGACAUCUACCCUUUGCUUGAAAACCUCCAGGGAUGGCAACUCCACCACCUCCCUGAGCAGCCGGUUCCAACACCUCACCAAAGAAAGAUUCACUUCUCCACUUUCUUACCAGAUAACAGGCAAGCUACCAACGGCCAGUAGCUGAAACCACAUUAAAUCUCCACCGUGGAGUAAGGAGACUUCUCACAUUAAAAAUCUUAUCAGUAUUUUCUCCCAUUGAUUUAGUAUUUAAAAGUUUCCUCUAACUUUGCACACAUUGCCUUCUGUGUUUAAGUAUCCUGAGUCUCUUACCAAAUAGCAUACCUAAAUCAAGUAAAACAAUGGAGCAAUUUAAGCUUGACAAUAUUUGUUGAUGAUUUUCAUUUAAAAAAAGGAUUCUAGACUCAGGAGAUAUUAACAUCAUUGAUAGAAAUUGCAUUAUUUCUCACUUUAUUUUUCCCUGGAUAUAAUAAAAAUUUUCCAGUGCUCUUUAGCUCCCAGUGAAGGAAGAAGCUGUGACUUAUUUGUUUUCUUGGAACCUCUGGAUCAAAGAAGCAAGCCAAAACUAUUUUCAAGUAGGACUUGGUACUUUUGCAUCAUGGACACUCAAUUUCCAAAUUAAGCGUUCUAAAAGAGGCAUAUAUAGUGACAGGAAAAGGUUUCUAUAUAGAAAGAGAGUAAGUAGUUCUGAAAAUACCAGACAGCUGAAUAUGCGGUAUCCCAGACCAAAAUACACUGGCACCAACUUCAAUGCUGAUGUUUUUAUAAUAGUAGCACAAUUAAUUUUUGUAAAUCCUUUGCAGCUGUACCACCAAUAUAGCAUGGUAUUUUUAACAGGGUAUUUUCAUUACCUUAUUUUUAGAGAUGAAGGUUUUAACCCUGAUCUUCAGUUGUUUACAACUGAUUGGAUAUGCGAGCAAGAACUUCUGUUGCAGGAAAGCAAAGGAAUAGGUCUUUGCAGGCACAGAGUGAUGUCAGAGCAACUCAUCCCCUCUUGUCCAUCUCUAGCCAUGUCACAAUGGAGACUGCUCUCAGAGUGGAACUGACCAAAAUGAUAAGCCCUGAUAAAAGUAUCAAAAAGAGUACAGAGAAGAGGUGGAUACAUUUGAAAGAUGAGACUUUCUACUUGGAUCAAACAAACUUGUUAGGCCAGAUGUGCCUGGAUUUUUCUUAUUGGAGAGCAAUAAAAACCUCAUGGUUGUUGAACUACGCAGUGUUGGCUUAGAAAUCAAAACAGUUGAACAGAUGAUGCAAGUAACUGUACCCCAUUGACCCAAACAUCCACAGAGGUUUUAAUAAACAUCUUUAUGGUGAAAAGUCCAAACCUCGUAAGUCAAAGCACCAGCACUAAUUUUUGUCUGCAGUAUUACAAGGUGUGCACAGAAGUCCUUGCAGGAUCAUGGGUGAUUUUUCAUAGGGCUCCAGCUUCUCCUGGUGCUCAGGGUCCCCUUAAGACAAGUCAGUGUCGUACCCUGCAUCUUCCAGAGAACGCACAGCAAAAAGCUGCAAAGUCUCACCUGAGCACAAGGGAGCUGAUAUGUUUUCAAAGCCUCAUAACCCACCAGAAUGUUAGGGGAAAGGCAAGACACAGACUGACACAAUCUGCUUUGCAGGCAGACAGGUGUUUUCUCAGAAGCAGGUGAUGCCAAACCUUAAUUUGAUCUCCAUUUUCAAACAUAGGCACAACAACAUGGUUUUCAUCUCCCUUUGGAAACUGACAGAGCAAUACAAAGCUUUCUGAAGCCAUCCAGCUGAGACAGACAUUCACAGACCAAAAUGUAGACCUCCCUAAAGCCAAUAAGAGGAAAAAAAUCCAUAAAAAUUCUGUAGUUUGUUCUUCUCUUACUUUAUGGUUUGGGGAGUGCUUUUUUUUCCUAAGCAUUUAUGGCAAUAGAAUGUGCUUACAAAAAAAAAAGAGAGACAUUUAUGAUUAUCAGAUGUUUAACUCCACUUUCCCAACACAUGUAAGCUAACUGCUCCUUCCCAAAUCAAAGUAUUCUCCCUUAACAGCUAACUUGCAGUGAUUUUGAAGUUACAUAUGUAAUACAACAGCACUCUUAUUUGCCUGCUGGAGAAUCAGAACAAGAUUUGUCUUAAUACAUCUUUUCAAAAAUAUUUUAUUCCUUCACAACAAAUUGCAACUCUUAUCUUGGAAUGUAUUUUUAUAGUUGAAAUGCACAGUAAGAGUUAAACAAAUACCCUCUUUUUUUUUUUUCAGAUGAUCUGCAUUAUUCUUGAAGUAACAUUUGAAAAAUUAUUUCCCUAAGCUUAAUUUUCUCUAUAAAUUAGCAAGUUUUUCUCUCUCUCUUUUUUUUUUUUUUUGGUGUGGUGAUGGGAAGAGGGGGUUCCCAGUUCACUGGGGCAGUAUGAGAUUGAUUAUAAGCAGACUUCCUGCAAAAACUUGGGCAGGUCCUCUGGAGCAUUCCCCAGUCGUAGAACAUCGCUCCUCCAGAGCAGACGCCAGAGGGCAAAAAUAAAACAAAGGGGGGAGGGCUAAACUUUAAAAGAAAUAAAAUCCUCUCUCCAAAUCCAAUCAGAUAUUUCAGUGACAUGAACGGAUCCUUCGUUUUUGGCAGCAUCUCUUCUAUCAGGUCCAGUGAAAAAUCUUAUGAAAAUCCCAGCAACUGUCAAAUGCAGACAUGAUUUUCAUGGAAGAAGUCCAGAUUCCAGAAACUUGUUUGAAGAGAGGAUAAGUACUUCACAUGUGCUUCUGACAGCCAGCUACAGCCUUCACUCAAACUCCAUUUCCCAUGCUUGAGAAAACAGAAUAGAUUUCAGAGGCCUUUGGUUUAGCAAACUUAGUGAUAGGAAACAUCCCAAUCUUCAUACAUGGUAUUUGGAAGUGGCAUGUGACAAUCUUCCAUGAAGAUACAACAGAGUUUUUGAAGAGGGAAUGUUUACAAAGCAGAUUGAUAGUCUGAUGUAUCCAGAGUAAUUAGUUGUAAGCCAAGUAAUAAAAAUGUGGAGAACUUACAAGUAUGCCAGAUGAAAGCAAAAUUCAGAUGUUGCAUACUGUAUGAGCACACAAUGAAGGCCACUUUGUAAUACAAGAGCACAAAACCAUGGGCUGCAUUCAGACCUAGUGUGCAGUACAGCUAAAAUAUCAGUCAAGCCAGAUAUUAAUUUAGCUCAUAACCCUAGGAAGGCAUUUUUGCCAUCUUAUGUAAAGUGUCCAAACUCUUUACUGAAAGAAGAGCCUUAAAUCAUAGAAUUCUUCAGAAAUUAUCCACCACUACAAAUAUCGCUUUUAUUUAGAUAAAGAACUGUAAGCACUGAAAACUUCAUCCCCAGUGUGGAAGCUGUUGGUUAGCAGUGGAAAACCCUGGACCUCUUUGUCUCCUACUGUUAUGUUUUUAAAAAUUAAUGCAGAACUCUGUCCGAUCAGUGUUUAUUUCUGACAGUUUUUGGCUGGGAGGUAGCUAAUAUCUUUGGCAUGUUUUAAGUAGCAUAUCAGAAUCAAUCAUUGACUUGGGUAAUACUGUAUUAUACUUCUGUCUCCUGUUUAGAAAAUAAUGCAUAGCAAGGGAACCCUUAAGGAUUAAAUCUUCACUUUGGAAGACAGCUAAGUGCACAGACACAAAGAUAUGGAGCUAAAGUAGACUGAAAAACGGCAGCUCUGAACUUAUAUUGUAUACACACACUUGUUGAUUUUCCUCUCCUAGUCUAGAAUAUUAACCAGUUCACCAACCUCAUAUUUCUCAGGAGAACGUAAUGCAGAAAAAGAAACCACAAAAAACCCAACACAAUUACAUUCAAACUGUUUCGUUUUUCUAAGGGUCUGUAUGCAUGGAGGGCUACCACAAGGCUGCAGGUUUCUCUGGCCUCAGACAACCUGGUAGCAGGGGAAGCACACUGUGCAGGGGUGUGCUGGAGCACUUUCUGCAGUGGCCCAUCCAGAGCUGCAGAGGAGUAAGCUCAUCUAAUAACAAUGGGUCUGGUCCAUUUCUUAAGAAACACUUCAGCCAACAAAUGACAUUGGAAAGAAAAACUGAUGGAAGAAGUAUCAUUCUUUACAUGCAUAAAUACAGACCAGAUGUGCACGAGGAUGGAUAAAUCUCUACCAGACAGAGAGAAGCAGCGUCAGAAUCUGCCUGGGCACUCCAAGCUGCUCCUGAGGCACAGGCAGGGAGCAAGCAGUUGUUCUUCCCUGGGAAGAGCUGAUGGAGAUGGCCUCACCUCUGGAGAAUGUAUUCCUGCAUUUCAGAGCCAGAGCCGAGCACCCCUGAUACGCAGCCACCCAUUGCUGGAAGCCCCCCAGGAUGGGGCUCAGGCUUGCUGUUUGCUCCCCGUGUGCAGGAUGUUCAGGUAGUGUCGCUGCUGAGCAGCCUCUUGCUGCAAUGGAAUUGCUUUUCUGACAUCAAACGUCCAAACAAAACAAACUCUUUCGGUAUAAUAAUAUUUACUGAAGCAUCAGCUUAUGCUAGAGACAGCAGAAGACUGCUAAGAAGAAGGUCUAACCCAAGAGGAUGUUUAGAAUUUAAGAUUCGCUUAGCCCUUAUGGUGUAAUUUGUGCCAUAUGUUCUCCUAUUUACAGUUUUCCAAGCAAACCAUUUUCUAUUAGUUUGCAGCACAAGGAACUUUCCAUACAAUAGUAACUCUGAGCCUUCCCCCAUAACACAGCCCUUAAGUCCUCACUGAAUAAUAUGCACCUUCUAUAUUUUAACCAGUCUCUGGCAGCAGGGAGAAGUUGCACGUGAUGAGCCUGAUUUAUUGCAACCUCAUCUGAGGGAACUGAGUGCCUAUAAAAUACAGAGCACUAAUUUUGUUUUCUGUUGACCUUUUGCAUCCAACCCUGAAAAAAACUUCCUUUGCAGGCCUCUUCCAGCUGUUGGGAGCCCAGGAUGCUCUAGAGUGAGUCUUUAAAUAGAAAGAUGGAAGUCUUGUGUUAUUAGUCACACUGAGGUCGCAGCAGUAGUAGUAAAUUAAUGACCACUAAUUGUCAUAAACUGUCUGAAGAGAAGGGGACAAACUGCCAACCUCUGCAGAAAUGUUCGUGUGGUUCUCCUGUCUGCUCUGGAGGGAACUCUGGCUUCUAUCUCAAGCAGUCCUUCAGGCUGCCUGCGCAGUACGUGUUGAUUGGACGUUUCUGUGCAGCUUCAGCCUCAUCCCUUCGCAGCCGUUCCAAGUUUCCGGCGCCUCUGCUGAGCGGCAGCCGUGUGUGCGCCACAUUUCAUUCCAUGCAUGUGGGGGUCGUGCACACUGCUGCUGCUCUUUGCAUUUUUUUUUUUUGCACGUUGUCUUUGAAAAAUGGGAUGCAGCUGGUCCCAGGGCAGAUUUAUUGGUAACUUUCCUGGUCUGCUGGCCUGACCGUUUGGGAAAAUCCUUGCUCUACUGGAAGACUCGGUCCCAUUAUGGCAGAGAAGUUCCACGUGUUCAGGUGGCAGCUGUGUCCUCUGCGGGAGGUGGCAGAGGGAAGCAGUUGUGCCCUCUUCUGCCUGAAGAACAUAAAGUUGGCAUUUCUCUUUUGCCACAAGUUUUGCUCCAGCACUUUUCCCCUAAUCAUUCUGAAGAGAUUUUGCAUCCACCCCUUCUUGUUUCUGUCCAUCCUGCCUAAUGAUGCCUGUUGUUCAAGGCCAAAUCCCGCUGCUUGGUGCACCUGGAAGCACCAAAUUACUGCCUCUCCCACCUUCACAGCCUCAGGGAUGUCUCAGCUGCAGUCCACUCCUUCGGCAGGAUCGCAUGUGUGAAAAGACCAAUAAAGGUCCCCCACUCCUGCCACUGUACCUGGCAAUGGUUUUUCAUUCAGUGAGUAAAGAACUGAUAUUUGUAAUUGCUGUUCUUACAAUGUAAGAUUUCUCUGCUUACAUUUCUGCUGAACUUACCAUUGCUCUUCAUAUGACAUUUUUUUAAUGCACAGCCUGCUUCCUCUGUAUCAAAAUGGGUAGAUAUGUGGGUGAACAUUGUCCAGAGCUUUCACUUCUCCAGGCAGUGAAAGGCUUUGCUUUGUUGUAAAAGAAAUAUAUAUUUUCCUCUUGUUGUUCUUGAGAUCAAUGCUUGACAGCUAAUCAAAAAUGAAAUGCGUUGGUGUGCUUAGGUCAACAUGAAGUGCAAACCAAAAGACAAAAACAAGAAAAAAAUUGUCUCAAAGUGCUUUGAAUUGUCCCUUUUCCUUGUUUGGCAGUAAAAGAAUAUAUACAAUGGCAAUUAUCCCUGGGUGUUAAGCUUAUGCUUAUUUCUCUCAUGUGUCAGCUUUGCUGUAACCUUGGCAUUACCACCUCUGGAAAUCUAGCACUUGUUACAGGACACUCAACUUGAAACAACACAGCUCUCAAGAAAACAUAUUUCUGUGACUCUAUUUCCAUUUUGUUUGUUUUAAGAAGCCUUAGUACUGAUUUUCAAUCUGUGGGGAUCUGCAGGAGGAUCCUUGCAGGCUGGAACACUGGGAAACUCCCACCUGAGUGGAGCAGCACUGGCCCAUCCUCACCUCCCACUGCUGGGAGCAAGCAAUGCUCCAUUUAAGCUCGAGGACCCACACCCAUCGCAUAGGCACUGUGCAAGCAGUGGGGGCUCGCACCCAGUCAGGGACCCAUUUCCAGCCAAAUACCUCUGGAAAAGCAGACAGGAGCCAGGGCUGGACACACACUUCAGAGCCCCAGGACAGAGCCAGAGGUGAGCAGUGUUCAUGGCCCAGGACCUGCUGCUCAGCUGGUUGGAUUUUCUUUAGGUCUGAUUCAUGCUUUCUGUCUCUAACACCCAUCUUUCUCUUCUAAUUAACUCCUGCCACGUGUUCCAAGAACUUCUCCCAAAAGCUGAACAUUCGCAAUUGCAGGUAUCUGCUUGCUUGUAGUGCAACUCAGAUACAGAAAACUGCCCUAGUGGUUCAGGCCCCUCUUCAGGCUCUUUCUUCCCUCUGACUCUGGAUCCAUUUCACUUUGUCUCUACAAAGAAGAAAAAGCAACACCGAGACGGCCCUCAUGCUGAAAUCUCUCUCUGUGAUUAAUAAACUGAGAGUAUUUAAUUGUUCCCAUUUGACACAGAUUGAACACGUUUACGUUUUCUUUUGGUGUUAGCCAAUAAAAAGAGACAAGGAAAGCUGAUUCAACCCUUAUGUUUCUGAGGCACACUCCUGGAGCUUUCAAAGGGAGAUGCAUCCAUGGGACAGCAUGAUGGACUCAGGGUUCAGUUUGCCAAAGCAUAGUGCUCAGACACCCAGUGCUGAGAAGACUCUCCUGCUUCCUUUCACUUCUGUGCUCUAAAUGAUGUCUCAAAUCAUUCUCUAGAGCAAAACCUAUCAGAGGAAGAACUGACAAAAAUGUUUUCCUCGCACAAUGCUAGCAAGAUGACUUUCUUGACUAUAUUUAAAAUAAAAAAUACUGGGAAAUAAAAGAAAAUCCUC